AUGAACGCUAGCUACAGGCUUAACACAUGCAAGUCGAGGGGCAGCAUUUUAGUUUGCUUGCAAACUGAAGAUGGCGACCGGCGCACGGGUGAGUAACACGUAUCCAACCUGCCGAUAACUCCGGAAUAGCCUUUCGAAAGAAAGAUUAAUACCGGAUAGUAUACGAAUAUCGCAUGAUAUUUUUAUUAAAGAAUUUCGGUUAUCGAUGGGGAUGCGUUCCAUUAGUUUGUUGGCGGGGUAACGGCCCACCAAGACUACGAUGGAUAGGGGUUCUGAGAGGAAGGUCCCCCACAUUGGAACUGAGACACGGUCCAAACUCCUACGGGAGGCAGCAGUGAGGAAUAUUGGUCAAUGGGCGAGAGCCUGAACCAGCCAAGUAGCGUGAAGGAUGAAGGCUCUAUGGGUCGUAAACUUCUUUUAUAUGGGAAUAAAGUUUUCCACGUGUGGAAUUUUGUAUGUACCAUAUGAAUAAGGAUCGGCUAACUCCGUGCCAGCAGCCGCGGUAAUACGGAGGAUCCGAGCGUUAUCCGGAUUUAUUGGGUUUAAAGGGAGCGUAGGUGGAUUGUUAAGUCGGUUGUGAAAGUUUGCGGCUCAACCGUAAAAUUGCAGUUGAAACUGGCAGUCUUGAGUACAGUAGAGGUGGGCGGAAUUCGUGGUGUAGCGGUGAAAUGCUUAGAUAUCACGAAGAACUCCGAUUGCGAAGGCAGCUCACUAGACUGUCACUGACACUGAUGCUCGAAAGUGUGGGUAUCAAACAGGAUUAGAUACCCUGGUAGUCCACACAGUAAACGAUGAAUACUCGCUGUUUGCGAUAUACAGUAAGCGGCCAAGCGAAAGCAUUAAGUAUUCCACCUGGGGAGUACGCCGGCAACGGUGAAACUCAAAGGAAUUGACGGGGGCCCGCACAAGCGGAGGAACAUGUGGUUUAAUUCGAUGAUACGCGAGGAACCUUACCCGGGCUUAAAUUGCAACAGAAUAUAUUGGAAACAGUAUAGCCGUAAGGCUGUUGUGAAGGUGCUGCAUGGUUGUCGUCAGCUCGUGCCGUGAGGUGUCGGCUUAAGUGCCAUAACGAGCGCAACCCUUAUCUUUAGUUACUAACAGGUGAUGCUGAGGACUCUAGAGAGACUGCCGUCGUAAGAUGUGAGGAAGGUGGGGAUGACGUCAAAUCAGCACGGCCCUUACGUCCGGGGCUACACACGUGUUACAAUGGGGGGUACAGAAGGCGGCUACCUGGUGACAGGAUGCUAAUCCCAAAAACCUCUCUCAGUUCGGAUCGAAGUCUGCAACCCGACUUCGUGAAGCUGGAUUCGCUAGUAAUCGCGCAUCAGCCAUGGCGCGGUGAAUACGUUCCCGGGCCUUGUACACACCGCCCGUCAAGCCAUGAAAGCCGGGGGUACCUGAAGUACGUAACCGCAAGGAGCGUCCUAGGGUAAAACUGGUAAUUGGGGCU
rnacentral:rRNA from 1 species